rnacentral:ncRNA from 1 species
CACUAGUCAGCGAGGGUUCGCCCACUAGUG